UACAGGGGGGGCAAGCGUUGUUCGGAAUUACUGGGCGUAAAGGGCUUGUAGGUGGCCAACUAAGUCACACGUGAAAUCCCCAGGCUUAACCUGGGAACUGCGUGUGAUACUGGAUGGCUUGAAUCCGGGAGAGGGAUGCGGAAUUCCAGGUGUAGCGGUGAAAUGCGUAGAUAUCUGGAGGAACACCGGUGGCGAAGGCAGCUCGCUGGGACGGUACUGACGCUGAGGCGCGAAAGCGUGGGGAGCAAACAGG
rnacentral:rRNA from 1 species